rnacentral:rRNA from 1 species
GACGGGGGAUGCAAGUGUUAUCCGGACUCACUGGGCGUAAAGCGUCUGCAGGUGGUUUCCUAAGUCCACUGUUAAACCUUGAGGCUCAACCUCAAAUCUGCAUUGGAAACUAGGAGACUUGAGUAUAGUAGGGGUAGAGGGAAUUUCCAGUGGAGCGGUGAAAUGCGUAGAUAUUGGAAAGAACACCGAUGGCGAAGGCACUCUACUGGGCUAUUACUGACACUCAGAGACGAAAGCUAGGGGAGCAAAUGGG